rnacentral:ribozyme from 14 species
AGCAAAGCAAAGCCAUUUCAUACUUUUUGUAUUUUUUCUUCUCCAAUAAUUAUCAAUUCUAAAUUAAAAACAAAUUCUAGAUCAUAACAGAAGAGUUUACUUUUUGUUUGA